rnacentral:rRNA from 1 species
GGGGAAACCCAGUGCAAUUCGUUGCACUAUCGUUAACUGAAUACAUAGGUUAACGAGGCGAACCGGGGGAACUGAAACAUCUAAGUACCCCGAGGAAAAGAAAUCAACCGAGAUUCCCCCAGUAGCGGCGAGCGAACGGGGAGCAGCCCAGAGUCUGAAUCAGCUUGUGUGUUAGUGGAACGGUCUGGAAAGUCCGACGGUACAGGGUGAUAGUCCCGUACACCAAAAUGCACAGGUUGUGAACUCGAAGAGUAGGGCGGGACACGUGGUAUCCUGUCUGAAUAUGGGGGGACCAUCCUCCAAGGCUAAAUACUCCUGACUGACCGAUAGUGAACCAGUACCGUGAGGGAAAGGCGAAAAGAACCCCGGCGAGGGGAGUGAAAAAGAACCUGAAACCGUGUACGUACAAGCAGUGGGAGCACCUUCGGGUGUGACUGCGUACCUUUUGUAUAAUGGGUCAGCGACUUAUAUUCUGUAGCAAGGUUAACCGUAUAGGGGAGCCGCAGGGAAACCGAGUCUUAACUGGGCGUUAAGUUGCAGGGUAUAGACCCGAAACCCGGUGAUCUAGCCAUGGGCAGGUUGAAGGUUGGGUAACACUAACUGGAGGACCGAACCGACUAAUGUUGAAAAAUUAGCGGAUGACUUGUGGCUGGGGGUGAAAGGCCAAUCAAACCGGGAGAUAGCUGGUUCUCCCCGAAAGCUAUUUAGGUAGCGCCUCGUGAACUCAUCUUCGGGGGUAGAGCACUGUUUCGGCUAGGGGGUCAUCCCGACUUACCAACCCGAUGCAAACUACGAAUACCGAAGAAUGUUAUCACGGGAGACACACGGCGGGUGCUAACGUCCGUCGUGAAGAGGGAAACAACCCAGACCGCCAGCUAAGGUCCCAAAGUCAUGGUUAAGUGGGAAACGAUGUGGGAAGGCACAGACAGCCAGGAUGUUGGCUUAGAAGCAGCCAUCAUUUAAAGAAAGCGUAAUAGCUCACUGGUCGAGUCGGCCUGCGCGGAAGAUGUAACGGGGCUAAACCAUGCACCGAAGCUGCGGCAGCGACACUAUGUGUUGUUGGGUAGGGGAGCGUUCUGUAAGCCUGCGAAGGUGUGCUGUGAGGCAUGCUGGAGGUAUCAGAAGUGCGAAUGCUGACAUAAGUAACGAUAAAGCGGGUGAAAAGCCCGCUCGCCGGAAGACCAAGGGUUCCUGUCCAACGUUAAUCGGGGCAGGGUGAGUCGACCCCUAAGGCGAGGCCGAAAGGCGUAGUCGAUGGGAAACAGGUUAAUAUUCCUGUACUUGGUGUUACUGCGAAGGGGGGACGGAGAAGGCUAUGUUAGCCGGGCGACGGUUGUCCCGGUUUAAGCAUGUAGGCUGAUUGUCCAGGCAAAUCCGGAUAAUCAAGGCUGAGGUGUGAUGACGAGGCACUACGGUGCUGAAGUAACAAAUGCCCUGCUUCCAGGAAAAGCCUCUAAGCAUCAGGUAACAUCAAAUCGUACCCCAAACCGACACAGGUGGUCAGGUAGAGAAUACCAAGGCGCUUGAGAGAACUCGGGUGAAGGAACUAGGCAAAAUGGUGCCGUAACUUCGGGAGAAGGCACGCUGGUGUGUAGGUGAAGUCCCUGCGGAUGGAGCUGAGACCAGUCGAAGAUACCAGCUGGCUGCAACUGUUUAUUAAAAACACAGCACUGUGCAAACACGAAAGUGGACGUAUACGGUGUGACGCCUGCCCGGUGCCGGAAGGUUAAUUGAUGGGGUUAUCCGUAAGGAGAAGCUCUUGAUCGAAGCCCCGGUAAACGGCGGCCGUAACUAUAACGGUCCUAAGGUAGCGAAAUUCCUUGUCGGGUAAGUUCCGACCUGCACGAAUGGCGUAAUGAUGGCCAGGCUGUCUCCACCCGAGACUCAGUGAAAUUGAACUCGCUGUGAAGAUGCAGUGUACCCGCGGCAAGACGGAAAGACCCCGUGAACCUUUACUAUAGCUUGACACUGAACAUUGAGCCUUGAUGUGUAGGAUAGGUGGGAGGCUUUGAAGCGUGGACGCCAGUCUGCGUGGAGCCAACCUUGAAAUACCACCCUUUAAUGUUUGAUGUUCUAACGUUGGCCCCUGACCGGGGUUGCGGACAGUGUCUGGUGGGUAGUUUGACUGGGGCGGUCUCCUCCCAAAGCGUAACGGAGGAGCACGAAGGUUAGCUAAUCCUGGUCGGACAUCAGGAGGUUAGUGCAAUGGCAUAAGCUAGCUUGACUGCGAGCGUGACGGCGCGAGCAGGUGCGAAAGCAGGUCAUAGUGAUCCGGUGGUUCUGAAUGGAAGGGCCAUCGCUCAACGGAUAAAAGGUACUCCGGGGAUAACAGGCUGAUACCGCCCAAGAGUUCAUAUCGACGGCGGUGUUUGGCACCUCGAUGUCGGCUCAUCACAUCCUGGGGCUGAAGUAGGUCCCAAGGGUAUGGCUGUUCGCCAUUUAAAGUGGUACGCGAGCUGGGUUUAGAACGUCGUGAGACAGUUCGGUCCCUAUCUGCCGUGGGCGCUGGAGAAUUGAGGGGGGCUGCUCCUAGUACGAGAGGACCGGAGUGGACGCAUCACUGGUGUUCGGGUUGUCAUGCCAAUGGCACUGCCCGGUAGCUAAAUGCGGAAGAGAUAAGUGCUGAAAGCAUCUAAGCACGAAACUUGCCCCGAGAUGAGUUCUCCCUGAGACUUUAAGUCUCCUGAAGGAACGUUAAAGACGAUGACGUUGAUAGGCCGGGUGUGUAAGCGCAGCGAUGCGUUGAGCUAACCGGUACUAAUGAACCGUGAGGCUUAACCUU